rnacentral:sRNA from 1 species
AUAUGAACAACGCAAAAAAUAACGUUCCUGCAAAAGCGUUCCUACGAGGAUACACUACGGUGGCCCAUGAUGUACGGAAAUCGUCUAUUGGAAUGGAGAUCAACCACCUCUGGCCGAUCUUGGGUGCAGUGCCAGUCGAGUCCUUUUUAGGAUAUGACUGGGAGUGCAAUGAUUGACCAAACAC